CCUUUGACGUUAGCGGCGGACGGGUGAGUAACACGUGGGUAACCUACCUAUAAGACUGGGAUAACUUCGGGAAACCGGAGCUAAUACCGGAUAAUAUUUCGAACCGCAUGGUUCGAUAGUGAAAGGUGGUUUUGCUAUCACUUAUAGAUGGACCCGCGACGUAUUAGCUAGUUGGUAAGGUAACGGCUUACCAAGGCGACGAUACGUAGCCGACCUGAGAGGGUGAUCGGCCACACUGGAACUGAGACACGGUCCAGACUCCUACGGGAGGCAGCAGUG
rnacentral:rRNA from 1 species